GGCGGGGUGGCAGAGUGUUAUGCCGUGGCCUGCAAAGCCGCGCAGGGUGGUUCAAAUCCAUCCCCCGCCUCCA
rnacentral:tRNA from 1 species